rnacentral:rRNA from 1 species
UACGUAGGGGGCCAAGCGUUAUCCGGAAUCAUUGGGCGUAAAGCGCGUGUAGGCGGUUCCGUAAGUCCGCUCUGAAAGCCCAGGGCUCAACCCUGGGAGGCGGGUGGAUACUACGGGAACUGGAGUACGGAAGAGGAGAUUGGAAUUCCUGGGUGAGGCGGUGAAAAUGCGCAGAUAUCGAGGAGGAACGACCAACAGCGAAGGCAGAUC